GCUAGCGUGGUGUAGUGGUUUGAGCAUUGGACUAGGACUCUCCAGACUAGGGUUUGAAUCCCUGCUCAGCC